GGCAGCACAGGGUAGCAAUACUUGGGUGGCGACCGGCGCACGGGUGAGUAACGCGUAUGCAACUUACCUAUCAGAGGGGGAUAGCCCGGCGAAAGUCGGAUUAAUACCCCAUGAAACAGGGGUCCCGCAUGGGAAUAUUUGUUAAAGAUUCAUCGCUGAUAGAUAGGCAUGCGUUCCAUUAGGCAGUUGGCGGGGUAACGGCCCACCAAACCGACGAUGGAUAGGGGUUCUGAGAGGAAGGUCCCCCACAUUGGUACUGAGACACGGACCAAACUCCUACGGGAGGCAGCAGUGAGGAAUAUUGGUCAAUGGCCGAGAGGCUGAACCAGCCAAGUCGCGUGAAGGAAGAAGGAUCUAUGGUUUGUAAACUUCUUUUAUAGGGGAAUAAAGUGGAGGACGUGUCCUUUUUUGUAUGUACCCUAUGAAUAAGCAUCGGCUAACUCCGUGCCAGCAGCCGCGGUAAUACGGAGGAUGCGAGCGUUAUCCGGAUUUAUUGGGUUUAAAGGGUGCGUAGGUGGUAAUUUAAGUCAGCGGUGAAAGUUUGUGGCUCAACCAUAAAAUUGCCGUUGAAACUGGGUUACUUGAGUGUGUUUGAGGUAGGCGGAAUGCGUGGUGUAGCGGUGAAAUGCAUAGAUAUCACGCAGAACUCCGAUUGCGAAGGCAGCUUACUAAACCAUAACUGACACUGAAGCACGAAAGCGUGGGGAUCAAACAGGAUUAGAUACCCUGGUAGUCCACGCAGUAAACGAUGAUUACUAGGAGUUUGCGAUACAAUGUAAGCUCUACAGCGAAAGCGUUAAGUAAUCCACCUGGGGAGUACGCCGGCAACGGUGAAA
rnacentral:rRNA from 1 species